rnacentral:rRNA from 1 species
UACGUAGGGGGCGAGCGUUGUCCGGAAUUACUGGGCGUAAAGGGCGUGUAGGCGGCCUUUUAAGUCAGAUGUGAAAUCUCAGGGCUUAACCCUGAAACUGCAUUUGAAACUGGAGGGCUUGAGGAUCGGAGAGGGCAGUGGAAUUCCCAGUGUAGCGGUGAAAUGCGUAGAUAUUGGGAGGAACACCAGUGGCGAAGGCGACUGCCUGGACGACACCUGACGCUGAGGCGCGAAAGCUAGGGUAGCGAACGGGAUUAGAUACCCGUGUAGUCCCU